rnacentral:rRNA from 1 species
GAUGAACGCUGGCGGCGUGCCUAAUACAUGCAAGUCGAGCGACAAGACGGGGAGCUUUCGCCUCUGACGUUAGCGACGGCCGGGUGAGUAACACGUGCAUAACCUACCUAUAAUACUGGGAUAACUUCGGAACAACGCGGCUAAUACCGGAUCAUAUAUUUUACCGCAUAGUUCAAUAGUGACAUACGCUUUUGCUGUCGCUUAUCGAUGGAUCCGCGCCGCAUUAGCUAGUUGGUAAGGUAACGGCUUACCAAGGCAACGAUGCGUAGCCGACCUGAGAGGGUGAUCGGCCACACUGGAACUGAGACACGGUCCAGACUCCUACGGGAGGCAGCAGUAGGGAAUCUUCGACAAUGGGCGAAAGCCUGACGGAGCAACGCCGCGUGAGUGAUGAAGGUCUUCGGGUCGUAAAGCUCUGUUAUUAGGAAAGAAAAAAAGUGUAAGUAAAUAUGGACGUCUUGACGGUACCUAAACAAAAAGCCACGGCUAACUACGUG